GACAUUUGGUAGAGACUGUUGAAGCCACCUGGUCCUAGCAGACCCCAGAAGGCAGCCACAUUCACUGGUGCUGGGGCAAGGUCAUUAAUGGUGAAGCCUGGUGCCAGAUGUGU
ensembl:rRNA 5S_rRNA 5S ribosomal RNA